rnacentral:rRNA from 1 species
GACGAACGCUGGCGGCAUGCCUAACACAUGCAAGUCGAACGAGACGAUCGGGUCUAGUGGCGCACGGGUGUGUAACGCGUGGGAACCUGCCCUUAGGUUCGGAAUAACUCCCCGACAGGGGUGCUAAUACCGGAUAAUGUCUUCGGACCAAAGAUUUAUCGCCCUUGGAUGGGCCCGCGUUGGAUUAGCUAGUUGUUAGGGUAAAAGCAUACCACGGCGAGGAUCCAUAGCUGGGCUGAGAGACUGAUCAGCCACACCGGGACUGAGACACGGCCCAGACUCCUACGGGAGGCAGCAGAGGGGAAUAGUGGACAAUGGGCUAAAUCCUGAUCCAGCAAUGCCGCGUAAGCUAUGUAGGCCUUAAGGUUGUAAAGCUCUUUUACCCGGGAUGGUAAUGACAGUACCGGGAGAAUAAGCUCCGGCUAACUCCGUG